rnacentral:misc_RNA from 1 species
UCCGGUUUGGCACCGGCAGUCUCCGAUGAGUCCCCGGCAUUACCCGCUGGCAACAUCGGACAGGGGUUGCGCUCGUUGCGCCACUUAAGGCAACACCUCACGGCACGAGCUGACGACAGCCAUGCAGCACCUGUGCAGGCUCCCGAAGGAGCGCCGUGUUUCCACGGCUUUACCCUGCAUGUCAAGCCCUGGUAAGGUGGGGAUGACGUGCUUGCUAGG